GCCUUUGUGGUGUAGUGGUCAGCACACUCGGUGCGUAUUCGAGAGGUCCAUGGUUCGAGUCCUGGCACCUGCA
rnacentral:tRNA from 1 species